GCACUUUGACGGAUUCAGUGCCCGCCCAGAAAAUCCGGGACAACCUCCCCAUUUCAAGCUUUUUAGCCUGAAUCACAGCUGCAAGAUCGCUCUCGCCAUGCCAGGUCACUGCCCUGAAAGAAAGCUGUGCAGGCAGCCCGCCCUCUUCGGGUGUGUGGCCGGGACCUCCCACUCUGUCUCCAUCCGCGCCUCGUCUGUAAACCAGGGGGGCUGUGAUCUCCUUGAGGGACACCAUCUUUGAGCCACCAGAACCCAGCAAAGCCUGAUCUGAGAGAGAAGCUCAAGGAGUGAUCGUGGAACUGAAGAGAAUAAAGAGCCAUCUCCUGACCUUUCUGUUCUCCAAUUCGGUAACAAGGGUAGUUGGCCAUGACAUCAUCAGUGACACGGUGGGGUUUCCCCUGAGGCUGCCCAUGUGGGUUCAAGGCUAAGGUGGCAUUUCUUUCUCAGCUCUACUCUGUGCUGUUUAAAUGCCCCAAGUACUGUCUUCAUCCAGUAACUGUAAAGAAAGUUCAGAUAUUUAGCCGUGGUGUGCUGCUCUGUUUUCCUGGGGCAGCAGCUCGUGGGCCUGCCGGCAGGUGUCACAUUAAUUCAUUAAUUCGGGACAGGAAGCAGAAGGGCGGCCGGCAAAACAGCGAGGCAGGUUGGCACGGCGGCUCUGCCCACGCAGAGGGGCUGGCUCAGCAGAGCCCAUUCGGCGCAUUUAAUCCCACUGAAAACCUGGCAGUUAAAGAGAUGAUGUCAUCGGAAUCAAUUAUCCCCACAAUUGCCAGAGCUGGGUGGAAAUAACUCAAGAAAUUGAUGCGUAGUAACCGCACACCAUUCAUUGAGGGGCUGCCUGCCUGCCCGCCAGUGUGCCGGCGGCCUGGUUUAUGUGAACCCACUGAAACCUCACAGCAGCCCUGAGGGAAGUGACCAUCAUAACCACCCUCUUCUUACAGGUGAGACAACGGAGGCUCGGGGGAGGAGAAGUGUGGUAGGCUGAGUAACGGCCCCCAGGGAGGUCAGGUCCUAAUCCUCGGAACCUCUCGGUGUGACCUCGCUUGGGGAAGGGGUCUUGGCAGCUGUGAUUAAGUGAAGAAUCUUGAGAUGGAGAGUUUAUCCUGUAUUAUCGGAGGCGGCUCCGAAUGCCACGAUGCCAUCGCAAGUGUCCUGAUUGGACAGAUGCAGAGGGCAACUUCACACACAGAGGACGAGGCCGUGUGAAGACAGAUGCGGAGACUGGAGGGAUGCAGCCACAAGCCAAGAACGCCUGCGGCCACCAGAAGCCAGAAGCAAGAAGAGAUUUUCCUCCUCUAGAGCACGGGCGGCGAACACAAGGCCCGAGGGCCGAAUCUGGCCCGACACCUUGUUUCUACUGGGCAGCAGCAAGAGCUCCUUGCCCCUAGUUAAGGCAUAGUUACAUUUAUACAGUCCUAAAGUUACAGUCAGCCCUUUGAAGGCACCCGGGAGGCUGAUGUGGCCCCUGGUGAAAGUGAGUUUGUCACCCCUGCGAGUCUAGAGUCUUUCAAGGGAGUCAGCUCGGCAGAUUUGAUUUUGUUCCAGCGAAACGGAUUUGGACUUCCAGCUUCCAGAACUGUGGGAGAAUAGGCCAGUAGUUUUAAUCCAUUAAGUCAGUAGUCAUUGUUACAGCAGCCACAGGAAACUCCUGCAGGAAGUGACUUGUCCACAGCCUCGCAGCUAGAAAGUGGAGACAUUGGGCUCUAAACAUAGGCAGUGCUCCAUAAAUGUUACCUGUUAUUACAUUAUUACUAUGUUGCAUGUGGGGCAGCUGAGUAACAGGAUGACAUGUUAAAAGGACCAUGAACCUGGCCUAGUUUGUUCAUUCCAACAGACACUGUUGGGGAGAGACAGGAUGAGUAACCAGGGUUUAAUGAUUCAGUUUGGGGAGAAGCUAUUAACAGUGGGUGGAGCUGGUUCAGGAACGUGAUGCAACUUUGAAGCAUGAUCACCCCAUCCUCACUGAGUCAGUUCCAACUGGUAGAAGUAACUCUACCGGCCAAGCUGGUCCUGCACCAAUGGGAGCGGGUUUGCAGCUGAUGGAGCAAGUGUGAUGGCCCAACAACCCAAACGGAUAAAGUGGCUUCUCUGUGUCUGGCGGCAUCUCCCCCACAACACUGUUUAUUGUCUAAUGACUCUAAUCCUUUGUCCUCCCUGGUCCAGACUAGACACUCAAUAAAUAUCUGU